UAAUACUUCGACCAUACAUAUACUGAGAUAGAACAAUACAGAGAAGACUAUCAUGGCCUCUGUGCAAGGAUGACACGCAAAAUCGUGGAGUGUUCCACAUUUUU